rnacentral:rRNA from 1 species
UGGGGGAUAUUGCACAAUGGGCGAAAGCCUGAUGCAGCGACGCCGCGUGGGGGAUGAAGGCUUUCGGGUUGUAAACCUCUUUCGCUAUCGAACAAGGCCCGCUUAGGGUGGGUUGAGGGUAGAUGGAGAAGAAGCGCCGACUAACUACGUGCCAGCAGCCGCGGUAAUACGUAGGGCGCGAGCGUUGUCCGGAAUUAUUGGGCGUAAAGGGCUUGUAGGCGGCUUGUUGCGCCUGCUGUGAAAACGGGGGGCUUAACUUCGCGCGUGCAGUGGGUACGGGCAGGCUUGAGUGUGGUAGGGGUGACUGGAAUUCCAGGUGUAGCGGUGGAAUGCGCAGAUAUCUGGAGGAACACCGAUGGCGAAGGCAGGUCACUGGGCCAUUACUGACGCUGAGGAGCGAAAGCAUGGGUAGCGAACAGG